UGGGGAAUAUUGGACAAUGGGCGCAAGCCUGAUCCAGCCAUGCCGCGUGUGUGAAGAAGGCCUUCGGGUUGUAAAGCACUUUUGUCCGGAAAGAAAUCCUUUCGAUUAAUACUCGGGAGGGAUGACGGUACCGGAAGAAUAAGCACCGGCUAACUUCGUGCCAGCAGCCGCGGUAAUACGAAGGGUGCAAGCGUUACUCGGAAUUACUGGGCGUAAAGCGUGCGUAGGUGGUUUGUUAAGUCUGAUGUGAAAGCCCUGGGCUCAACCUGGGAACGGCAUUGGAUACUGGCUUACUAGAGUGCGGUAGAGGGUAGUGGAAUUCCCGGUGUAGCAGUGAAAUGCGUAGAUAUCGGGAGGAACAUCUGUGGCGAAGGCGACUACCUGGACCAGCACUGACACUGAGGCACGAAAGCGUGGGGAGCAAACAGG
rnacentral:rRNA from 1 species